rnacentral:piRNA from 1 species
UGGCACACCCGUGGCUCUGUCUGCUU